UGCAUACUUAUUCAUAUUAUUAAUGCCUUUACUAUAAAUUUAAGCUUAUUUAAGCUCAAAAUUUUAUUAACCACUCUGCUCUGAAUUUAUUUUAGUUAAGGAUUAGAAGCAUCAAACAUUUUGCUGGAAAACAAAAUGACAUUUGGGGAAACAUUCUUUCCCCUUUUGCUGUUACUGAUAGCUUAUUAAUUCUGGCUGUAAUUUUUUUGUCUUUAUAUACAUUAAUCAAAAAGACAAAGAUGUUGUAUAAAAUAGUCAUGAAAAAGAUUGAGUAAAUAGUUUAUAGCUUUGUAGUAACUUCUGGGAUAGGACACUAAUAUAGCUGUCAGGAAACCUUGAUUUUAGUUUCCUAUGUACCUUCAGUUCGUUUUUCUUAAACAUUGGUAUAAAAAUAUGGAUGUAAAAGGAAGAAGGUAUUUUGUAGGGUAGUUGUAAGUUCCUGAAUGUGUGGAAUGAUUUAUGUGCAAACAUUGUCUUGCCUAAUGGAAAUAGUCAUAAUUGCCUAGUUUUCAUUAGUCUGAAAAAUGUCUUAAAGAAGUAUUGGGCUCAUCUUAAAUCAAGAGCAACAGAAGUCUCUUCAUCAGCUGCUGUUAGAACAUGAGUCUGCGCAGCCAUAGAGUAGGGAUCUGCAGACCCUGCAAGAACAGUUCCUGUCACUGGCCACUGUCAGUGGUCAUUAAUAAUUAUAACAAUAAAGAGUGUUACACCGUGCGCUCCAAAGGUAAUGUCUCAUUACUCUAAGGCUCUCUCUCUCUUUGCCUUUAUCUCUUUAAUUCUGUUGUUAUGUGCAUUGAAACAUUUUAAGAAAAAAAAAAACUUUCUGCUUUAUCUGUAUAGCAGCAGUACAUGUAAAACAAGUGCAUUUUAUUUUUCAUGGUUAAUCCUGGGAACUAUAUUUUAACUUCAGUGGCUUGUUUCCACCAAGUUCCUGUACAUCUUCUGGUGGGGGAGUGGGGUUAUUAGUUUAUAGUAUGGUUUUAGUUCUCAUUUCAGUGUGGAAUUAGUCAUUUCUGUAUAAGGGCAAAAGGUUCUCUGAUAAUGGUAUAAAACUAUAGAUUGUUUUUGGAGUAGCAGUGACACUUGUCAAUUUCUAAGAUUUAUAAGGCUUAAAUACCUUGCACACAUGUUUUUUAAAGUAGAUUCAGGGGUCGGGAAAACUGAAAAAUCACUGUCUUUAAGUACAAG
rnacentral:lncRNA from 1 species